AAGUAUUACAAGAUGGAUUAAGUUACAAUACCUCGUGUGGAUCUACGUUUAGGACAACGCUAUAUUCUUGCCUACCUCCUCAGCCUCCCGAGUAUAGUAGCAAUGAAACGUCUCUGUCUGCUCUAGAUGGCGAAUACAGAAAUGUCGUGCAAAAUUUAUUCAGCUGUAGCCUAACUGGUAUUCUCAAGAACGACAAUAUUAAUUGUGGCUCCACAUGGCAAGAUAUCCUAUUAGUUAACUGGCUGGAAGUCUCGUCAAGAUGGGGCAUGCUAUUUUUCAUAGAUAAGGAGCAAGUUAAUACGUUACAGAAUAUGAGAUGCUAAGACGAACAAUCAUCAUUGACAUGAAAUAAUUUGAAGUGUGCAAUGGAUGGAUCUGAAAUUUUGUUAUUCAAUUUUAUCAAAUUAGAAUAAAAACAUUUAUAUUAUA